AACGAACGCUGGCGGCAGGCCUAAUACAUGCAAGUCGAACGAAGUAGCAAUACUUAGUGGCAGACGGGUGAGUAACAUGUGGGUAUCUACCCUUUGGCCUGGAAUAACACGAGGAAACUUGUGCUAAUACCGGAUAAGUCUUUACGGAGAAAGCUUUAUGCACCAUUGGAUGAGCCCGCACUUGAUUAGUUUGUUGGUAGGGUAAUGGCCUACCAAGACUAUGAUCAAUAGCUGAUUUGAGAGGAUGAUCAGCCACAUUGGGACUGAGACACGGCCCAAACUCCUACGGGAGGCAGCAGUGGGGAAUCUUGCACAAUGGAGGAAACUCUGAUGCAGCGAUGCCGCGUGAGUGAAGAAGGCCCUUGGGUUGUAAAGCUCUUUCGUCGGGGAAGAAAAUGACUGUACCCGAAUAAGAAGGUCCGGCUAACUUCGUGCCAGCAGCCGCGGUAAUACGAAGGGACCUAGCGUAGUUCGGAAUUACUGGGCUUAAAGAGUUCGUAGGUGGUUGAAGAAGUUGGUGGUGAAAUCCCAGAGCUUAACUCUGGAACUGCCAUCAAAACUUUUCAGCUAGAGUAUGAUAGAGGAAAGCAGAAUUUCUAGUGUAGAGGUGAAAUUCGUA
rnacentral:rRNA from 1 species